AUUCAGCUGAUGAGUCUCAAAUAGGACGAAAUGCGCGUCCUGGAU
rfam:Schistosoma haematobium scaffold362_2, whole genome shotgun sequence.